ACAGAGGAAACAAUGACUUCAACACAGGAGAAUGUACGUCACAAACAGAAACCACAGAAUCCCCAAAAGUUGACUCUGUUCAUUUUGAUGUAGCGUUUCCAGUUGCAGAUGAUCCGUCACCACCAAGUCAUUGGUUCAGGACCAACACGGAGCGAGAAGUCAGCGCUCUCAGGAGGCC